rnacentral:rRNA from 1 species
CCUACGGGAGGCUGCAGUGGGGAAUAUUGCACAAUGGGGGAAACCCUGACGCAGCGACGCCGCGUGAAGGAAGAAGUAUUUCGGUAUGUAAACUUCUAUCAGCAGGGAAGAAAGUGACGGUACCUGACUAAGAAGCCCCGGCUAACUACGUGCCAGCAGCCGCGGUAAUACGUAGGGGGCAAGCGUUAUCCGGAUUUACUGGGUGUAAAGGGAGCGUAGGCGGCGGUGCAAGUCAGAAGUGAAAGCCCGGGGCUCAACACCGGGACUGCUUUUGAAACUGUAUGGCUGGAUUGCAGGAGAGGCAAGUGGAAUUCCUGGUGUAGGGGUGAAAUGCGUAGAUAUUAGGAGGAACACCAGUGGCGAAGGCGGCUUGCUGGACUGUAACUGACGCUGAGGCUCGAAAGCGUGGGGAGCAAACAGGAUUAGAUACCCCUGUAGUC